CCUACGGGGAGCAGCAGUGAGGAAUAUUGGUCAAUGGGCGCGAGCCUGAACCAGCCAAGUAGCGUGAAGGAUGACUGCCCUACGGGUUGUAAACUUCUUUUAUAAAGGAAUAAAGUGAGGCACGUGUGCCUUUUUGUAUGUACUUUAUGAAUAAGAAUCGGUUAACCCCGUGCAAGAAGCGGCGGUAAUACGGAGGAUCCGAGCUUUUUCGGGAUUUAUUGGGUUUAAGGGGAGCGUAGAUGGGUUGUUAAGUAAGUUGUGAAGGUUUGCGGCUCAACCGUAAAAUUGCAAUUGUUACUGGCAGUCUUGAGUACAGUUGAGGUAGGCGGAAUUCGUGGUGUAGCGGUGCAAUGCUUAGAUAUCACGAAGAACUUCGAUUGCGAAGGCAGCUUACUAAACUGCCACUGACAUUGAUGCUCGAAAGUGUGGGUAUCAAACAGGAUUAGAUACCCUUGUAGUC
rnacentral:rRNA from 1 species